rnacentral:rRNA from 1 species
UACGAAGGGGGCUAGCGUUGCUCGGAAUCACUGGGCGCAAAGGGUGCGUAGGCGGGUUUUAAGUCAGGGGUGAAAUCCUGGAGCUCAACUCCAGAACUGCCUUUGAUACUGAAGAUCUUGAGUCCGGGAGAGGUGAGUGGAACUGCGAGUGUAGAGGUGAAAUUCGUAGAUAUUCGCAAGAACACCAGUGGCGAAGGCGGCUCACUGGCCCGGUACUGACGCUGAGGCACGAAAGCGUGGGGAUCAAACAGG